AGGCUUAUAACUCAAUAGGUAGAGUGCCUGUCUUACAAACAGGCGGUCAUCGGUUCAAAUCCGGUUAAGCCUA
rnacentral:tRNA from 1 species